rnacentral:rRNA from 1 species
GUGCUUAACACAUGCAAGUCGAACGGUCUUUGCAGACGGACUCCUUCGGGAAGAAGACUGUAAAAGAUAGUGGCGGACGGGUGAGUAACGCGUGGGUAAUCUGCCUCUGAAACGGGGAUAACUCACCGAAAGGUGAGCUAAUACCGGAUGAGCUCUUAUGAUCGCAUGAUCAAAAGAGGAAAGAUGGCUCUGCUAUCGAUCAGAGAUGAACCCGCGUCCCAUUAGCUAGUUGGUGAGGUAACGGCUCACCAAGGCAUCGAUGGGUAGCCGGCCUGAGAGGGUGAACGGCCACACUGGGACUGAGACACGGCCCAGACUCCUACGGGAGGCAGCAGUGGGGAAUAUUCGGCAAUGGGGGCAACCCUGACCGAGCAACGCCGCGUGGGUGAAGAAGUUUUUCGGAACGUAAAGCCCUGUCAUGAGGGAAGAAUGUCUUUAUGUUUAAGAGAUGUAGAGAGUGACGGUACCUCAUAAGAAAGCUCCGGCUAACUACGUG